rnacentral:rRNA from 1 species
AGUGAACGCUGGCGGUAGGCCUAACACAUGCAAGUCGAACGGCAGCACAGUAAGAGCUUGCUCUUACGGGUGGCGAGUGGCGGACGGGUGAGGAAUACAUCGGAAUCUACUUUUUCGUGGGGGAUAACGUAGGGAAACUUACGCUAAUACCGCAUACGACCUACGGGUGAAAGCAGGGGAUCUUCGGACCUUGCGCGAUUGAAUGAGCCGAUGUCGGAUUAGCUAGUUGGCGGGGUAAAGGCCCACCAAGGCGACGAUCCGUAGCUGGUCUGAGAGGAUGAUCAGCCACACUGGAACUGAGACACGGUCCAGACUCCUACGGGAGGCAGCAGUGGGGAAUAUUGGACAAAGGGCGCAAGCCUGAUCCAGCCAUACCGCGUGGGUGAAGAAGGCCUUCGGGUUGUAAAGCCCUUUUGGUGGGAAAGAAAAGCAGCAGGUUAAUACCCCGCUGUUCUGACGGUACCCAAAGAAUAAGCACCGGCUAACUUCGUG